rnacentral:lncRNA from 1 species
GAGGAUUUGACUCCGGCAAGUCAGGGCAACGGUGUAGACGCGCCUGGCUCUGAUGCACGUUGUAAGGUCGCCCCCUGGUGGCUUAGUGGAGAACGGGCAGGGAGAUGGGACGCAUCUACCCUUGGGUCUGCACUCUGGCCCGCACAUCCAGUCACAAAAAAGUGCGGCCGCCCGAGCCAGGCCGACCUCAGUUGUUUCGAACAGCCUCCCAUCUUCUAGGCUUGGUCUCUCCAUGAACAGAAUGGGGGAUAGUAUACCCCCAGACCCUUGCCAAGGGCCCCUGGUGCAAAGGGGGGCUUUGCGCAGAUAUGCUCAGGUGAUUCCUACAGAGCCCUACAAGGCAGGAGCUACUGUCAUCCCCAGUUUACAGAGGAGGAAACUGAGGCUUAGAGGGUCACAUGGGAUGCAGAAACAAGACUGGAACCCGGGAUCCCCAGCCUUGUCCUCGGCUCCGGUAGCUUGGGCUGGCCCUUGGCGUGGGUCCAGCCCCUCCCAAUAAACUCGAAACCACCGCCAGGAGGGGCGGAACCGUGGGUGUCCCUGGCUGCCCAAGGUGCCAAUUAAAUGCUCGUGGCCGUCUGGGGCCAGAGCUAUGGACAGCGGCAUGGCCGAGCCCGGGCCGGAGCCCGAGCCGGGGCGCGCCUGGCGGGUGUUCGCCCUGUGCGGGGCCGCAGUCUUCCUGGCAGCGGUUGCUGCCGGAGCAGCCCUUCUGGCCUGGAAUCUGGCCUCCUCGGCCUCCCGGAGGCCCCGCUGCCCAGAGCCGGCCGCCAACACCACGGCGCCGCCUGGAGACCCCGGACCCGAAGUCGAGGAACUUCGGCGCCGACUGGCAGAGGCUGCCCGACUCGAGGAGGCCCUGACGAAGCGGCUGAAGCAGGCCGAGCGUGUCCGCCGGGAGCUGGAGGAGGCCCUAAGGGCCUGUGAGGGCCGCCAGAGUCGGCUUCAGACCCAACUGAUGACACUGAAAACUGAGAUGGAAGAAGCCAAGGCACAGGGUACCCAGAUGGGGGCUGAGAACGGGGCGCUCACAGAAGCCCUGGCGCGCUGGGAGGCCGCGGCCGCUAAAUCUGCGCAGCAACUGGACGAGGCGCAGCGGCGCGCACGUACGGCCGAGGCGGAGGGCGAAGCCUGCGCAGCCCGGGAGGCGGCGCUGCGCGAUCACAUUAAAGCCCUGGAAGCCCAGACGAGCGCCCAGCGCAGAGUUUCACACCCCCGGACCCGCGCCGGGUCCCGACCACGGCCCAGCCCCCGCUCGCGCUCUCGCCCAGGAACUUCCGGGGGCUGCAGGCGACCUACGCGGCGCGCACGAGGGUGAGUCGGCCCCCAGCUGAAUGGGGGCUCGAGACCAGGAGGACAGACCCUGGGAGCCCUGCAGGGACACUCAGAGAGGUGCCCAAGCUGGAUGAGAUGCUCAGUCGACACCCAUCCACGCUCAGCUUUUGACCCAGAAGCAACCCUGAAACUGCUGAAAGAAGACACGACCUUGUCUUUCUGACCAUCUAGUGCCUAUCUACAGACGGGAAUACUGAGGUCCAUUGGGUCUCAAGGUGAGAUAGUGCAGAGCCGGGACUUAGGUCCCCUCUAAGGACAAGGCCAGUGUUGCCCUCAUCCCUCGGACAUGAGGACUCAGGGUCCAGCCCUGAUCUGGAAGUGACCUGAAGGGGUCGCUUCUCCUCUCUGGUCCUCAGUUUACCGUGUCUGUAAAAUGAGUGAUUGGAAUGGUGAGAGCCAGCAUAUCCUUGACACCAAAACCUAGCAAAAAUGGCACGAUAGGAAAACUCCGCACCCCUCUCCCUGUGAGGGUACAAAGCUCCCAAAUGAAGUUUUAGAAGAGAACCAAGUAAUCAUUUGAAAGAUACACCAUAGCAAAGGAACAUAGGCCUGAGAUGCAAAGAUAAAUCAGUAUUGGGAAGGAACUCUGUUAAUAAAAUUUGCCAUGCUAACGGAUCA